AUGCUUAUUUUCAGAGAUGCACUUGAAACUUGUGGUCUGAUUGAUUUGGGUUUUGCAGGGUACCCCUUCACAUACGAUAACAGGAGGGGUGGACGGGCCAACGUGCAGGUGCGUUUGGACCGUGCAGCGGUCACUAAUGCAUGGCGUGACUUGUUCACGGAAGCGGCGGUGCUCCAUUUGGUGUCGCCCUACUCCGACGACUGCCCGAUCCUCAUCCUGUGCGUCCAUGACAUGGCGCCCAAACCGCAGCGCUGUCGACGGUAUGAAAUUAUGUGGGAGCGAGAACCCGCACUCGAGGAGGUGGUUGCGGAGGCAUGGAGGGCCGAGGGCAGCAAGAGAAAUCUCAGAGAUGUUCACUUAGCACUUGGUAAACUGAUGGGCAAGUUGCAUACCUGGAGCAGCAAGAAAUUUGGCAAUGUCACAAGAGAACUAGAAAAAUCCAGAUCGCGCCUUGAGGAGUUGAUGAAUAUGAAUGCAGACCGUGCAGAGAUACUAAAAGAGAUGGAUGCUAUGAAUGAGCUGCUAUACCGCGAGGAAAUGCUAUGGCUCCAACGUUCAAGGGUAGCUUGGCUGAAAGAGGGGGAUAGAAACACAAAGUUCUUUCACAGGAAGGCAGUUUGGAGAGCUAGAAAGAAUAGAAUUAAAGGGUUCACGGAUGCACAAGAGGUAUGGCAACAGGAGCAACAGACUAUGGAGAGGAUGGUCAAGGAUUACUUCCAACAUAUGUUCACGGCCGACCCUGCCAUUGACCCAGAGGAGAUUAUCCAACUCUUUCAACCAAAAGUGAGGAUGACAUGA
rnacentral:rRNA from 1 species